rnacentral:rRNA from 1 species
CAACCUUAGCGGUGGAUCACUCGCUCGUGCGUCGAUGAGAACGCAGCUAGCGCGAGAUAAUGUGGAAUUGCAGGACACAUUAUCAUCGACACUUCGAACGCAUUCGCCCCGGUUCCUCCGGGCUAAACGCCUGUCUGAGCGUCG